rnacentral:rRNA from 1 species
CCUACGGGAGGCAGCAGUGGGGAAUUUUGGACAAUGGGCGCAGCCUGAUCCAGCCUGCCGCGUGCAGGAUGAAGGCCUUCGGGUUGUAAACUGCUUUUGUACGGAACGAAAAAGCUCUCUCUAAUACAGGGGGUGAAUGACGGUACCGUAAGAAUAAGCACCGGCUAACUACGUGCCAGCAGCCGCGGUAAUACGUAGGGUGCAAGCGUUAAUCGGAAUUACUGGGCGUAAAGCGUGCGCAGGCGUUUAUGUAAGACAGAGGUGAAAUCCCCGGGCUCAACCUUGGAAACUGCCUUUGUGACUGCAUAGCUGGAGUGCGGCAGAGGGGGAUGGAAUUCCGCGUGUAGCAGUGAAAUGCGUACAUAUGCGGAGGAACCCCGAUGGCGAAGGCAAUUCCCCUGGGCCUGCCCUGACGCUCAUGCACGAAAGCGUGGGGAGCAAACAGGAUUUAGAUACCCUGGUAGUCCACGCCCUAAACGAUGUCAACUGGUUGUUGGGUCUUCACUGACUCAGUAACGAAGCUAACGCGUGAAGUUGACCGCCUGGGGAGUACGGCCGCAAGGUUAAAACUCAAAGGAAUUGACGG